CAGCCGCCACGGUAAUACAGAGGGUGCAAGCGUUAAUCGGAUUUACUGGGCGUAAAGCGUGCGUAGGCGGUUCGUUAAGUCUGUUGUGAAAGCCCCGGGCUCAACCUGGGAAUGGCAAUGGAUACUGGCGAGCUAGAGUGUGUCAGAGGAUGGUGGAAUUCCCGGUGUAGCGGUGAAAUGCGUAGAGAUCGGGAGGAACAUCAGUGGCGAAGGCGGCCAUCUGGGACAACACUGACGCUGAGGCACGAAAGCGUGGGGAGCAAACAGGAUUAGAUACCCGUGUAGUCCCUGUCUCUUAUAC
rnacentral:rRNA from 1 species